CCUCGAUUUUCUUCCUCCUUUGGUUUUCUCCUUCGGUCCUUAAAAGAAGAUGCUUCAUUGGCACUCGACCGUUAGCACUCGGUGGAUCUACCAUCUACGUCAUUUUCUCUCCCUUUUUCUAUUUUAGCAACUGAUGCCUUCUUCCCUAACAGCCGUCGUCGAGAGGGCUUGUGCGGUUGUGUCGCUUGGUGCUUUGGUCGCUCG
rnacentral:lncRNA from 1 species